UAGAUAUAACCCACAACAUGAAGAGAACUGAGGAGCAGGAAUCAGUGGAUGGUGGGAGAAGGAAGGUGGGACUCAGGGGUUGCCGCUGGCACUGUUGACCCCAAGAACACGGUGGCUGCAAUACCACAGCAUUUGGUCAGACAACUGGGAACAUCUGCCUGCAUGCUGGGACAUGCAGGACCCACUGCCACCUCAACUGACUCCUGACGCCCGUGAAGCUGGAGAUUGGACGUCGGUGGCCCCAUGGCCUUGCUUUCCAACAGAAAACACACAAAACCUGUAGGAACUUGGCUUCUGUCUCACUUUUGCCUUCCAAACUCUGUGCUGCUAUGUCUAACUAGGAUGGCCUGACGGACACUCAUGACCCUCAUGGUAAGAGAGUCUGGGAAAUGUAGUUUGUUUUUUUUUUUUUAGCUUCCUUUACUCCAUGCACCUACAGGC
ensembl:lncRNA